rnacentral:rRNA from 7 species
CCUUGACCUCAAAUCGGGUGAGACUACCCGCUGAACUUAAGCAUAUCAA